rnacentral:lncRNA from 1 species
UUUUUUGUGUGUGGAAUCAUGAUACUUACAAUUUCUUCAGAGACGUCAAACCGUUAAAGAUAUUGACGUCAAUUGUUACAAUUUGGUUGUAAUCAGCCACCUGUAAAAUAAAAUGUUUUAAAUCGUUUUCUUGCAUAAAAUUGUCAAUAUUCAUCUAGGUAAACACAAAUACCUAAGAAAAAGAGCAGUAGUAGUAUAUCUAUUUUAAAACUGGUUGUAAUGUUUCAUACUGUUGUAACACUGACAGACGUUUAUCAUGUCAACACUAGCUAUUUUGCAUGUAUGACUUAACUGAUUGAUGC